UACGUAGGGACCGAGCGUUGUCCGGAAUCAUUGGGCGUAAAGAGCGUGUAGGCGGCUAUUUAAGUCCUGCGUGAAAUCCUGCGGCUCAACCGCAGACGGUCGUGGGAAACUGGAUGGCUAGAGUGCGGGAGAGGAGAGUGGAAUUCCCGGUGUAGCGGUGAAAUGCGCAGAUAUCGGGAAGAACACCCGUGGCGAAGGCGGCUCUCUGGAACGCAACUGACGCUGAGACGCGAAAGCGUGGGGAGCAACAGGG
rnacentral:rRNA from 1 species